GUGCUCACUUUGGCAGCACGUAUACUAAAAUUGUGAAUCAUAAAGAGAAAAUCAGCACGGCCCCUGAACAAGGAUAACACGCAAAUUCGUGAAGCAUUUCAUAUUUUU
ensembl:snRNA RNU6-1119P RNA, U6 small nuclear 1119, pseudogene